AUACGGAGGGUGCAAGCGUUACUCGGAAUCACUGGGCGUAAAGCGCGCGCAGGCGGCUUGAUAAGUUGGAUGUGAAAGCCUACGGCUCAACCGUAGAACUGCAUCCAAAACUGUCAGGCUAGAGUGUGGGAGAGGAAGAUGGAAUUAGUUGUGUAGGGGUAAAAUCCGUAGAGAUAACUAGGAAUACCAAAAGCGAAGGCAAUCUUCUGGAACACUACUGACGCUGAGGCGCGAAGGCGUGGGGAGCAAACAGGAUUAGAUACCCGCGUAGUCC
rnacentral:rRNA from 1 species